CCUUCCACCCUCCAUUCCUCCUUCUCCCUUAGCCUAUGUUCUCUUAAGUUCUGAAGACUUAAUACCUCUUCAACUCACACCUGACCUAAAACCUAAACACCUUAUUUUCUUCUGCAAUGCUGCUUGACCCCAAUACAAACUCGAGAGUGGUUCCAAAUAGCCAGAAAAUGGCACUUUUGAUUCUUCCAUCCUACAAGAUCUAGAUAAUUCUUAUCGUAAAAUGGGCAAACAGUCUGAGAUGCCUGACGUCCAGGCAUUCUUUUACACAUUGUUCCCUCCCUAGUCUCUGUUCCCAAUGCGACUCAUCCCAAAUCCUCCUUCUUUCCCUCCCGCCUGUCCUCUCAGUCCCAACACCAAGCAUCACUGAGUCUUUCUAAUCUUCCUUUUCUACAGACCCAUCUGACCUCUCCCCUCCUCCCCAGGCUGCUGCUCACCAGGAGGAGCCAGGUCCCAAUUUUUCCUCACCCUAUAAUACUUUUAUCACCUCCCCUCCUCACACCCAGUCCAGCUUACAGUUUGGUUCUGCAACUAGCCCUCCCCUACCUGCCCAGCAAUUUCCUCUUAAAAAGGUGGCUGGAGCUAAAGUCACAGUCAAGGUUAAUGCUCCUUUUUUUUUUUUUUUAUCUGACCUCUUUCAAAAUCAGUAAGUGUUUAGGCUCUUUUUCAUCAAAUAUGAAAAACCCAGCCCAGUUCAUGGCUCAUUCGGCAGCAACCCUGAGACACUUUACAGCCCUAGACCCUAAAAGGUCAAAAGGCCAUCUUAUUCUCAAUAUACAUUUUAUUACCCAAUCUGCUCCUGACAUUAAAUAAUGCCCCAAAAAUUAAAUUCCAGCCCUCAAACCCCACAACAGGACUUAAACUUGCCUUCAAGGUAUACAAUAAUAGAUCAGAGGCAGCCAAGUAGCAAUGUAUUCCUGAGUUGCAAUUCCUUGCCUCCACUGUGAGACAAACCCCAGCCACAUCUCCAGCACACAAGAACUCCAAACGCCUGAACCAUAGCUGCCAGGGGUUCCUCCAGAACCGCCUCCCCCAGGAGCUCGCUACAAGUGCUGGAAAUCUGGCCGCUGGGCCAAGGAAUGCCCACAGCCCAGGAUUCCUCCUAAGCCAUGUCCCAUCUGUGUGGGACCCCACUGAAAAUUGGACUGUUCAACUCACCUGGCAGCCACUUCCAGAGCCCCAAGGCUCUCUGACUGACUCCUUCCCAAGGCUCUCUGGAACUCUGGCCCAAGGCUCUCUGACUGACUCCUUCCCAGAUCUUCUCGGCUUAGCAGCUGAAGACUGACGCUGCUCAAUCACUUCGGAAGCCCAGUGUGGAAAUAAACAAAAAUUGCCUGGAUGAGAGCAGUCAGAGGGAGUCAGCCACAGCCACCAUCAUGGUCUUGGGCAGAGACUCCAAGGCAGGCAGGGAGAGGGGACGCUUCGUAGUGGAAAAUGGGAGGCUUCAGGUGGGCUCUGACUGAAGGCUGUUGGUGUAGGAAAGUGGAGGUGGGCUGACUAGAAGUGAGGACUUCCAUAUUGUUGCCAGGUAGAACGAGGUCCAGCUGCUUGUUCUUGUGUUCCAAUAAUGAGAUGCAGACAGACUGGGAAAGAAGGGAGUUUCUUAUUGAGCUGUGUUAUUUCUGCAACCAGUUACAGGGAGAAGGUGAGAGUAACUCAUCAGACCAACUCAAAGUUACAAGGUUUUUCUAGUGCUUAUAUACAUUCAGUGCAUCUACAAGCUGAAAGCCAAGGUGUUCCACUCUAUCUAAUCUUUAACUAGG
rnacentral:lncRNA from 10 species